rnacentral:rRNA from 1 species
GACGAACGCUGGCGGCGUGCUUAACACAUGCAAGUCGAACGGAAAGGCCCUUCGGGGUACUCGAGUGGCGAACGGGUGAGUAACACGUGGGUGAUCUGCCCUGCACUUUGGGAUAAGCCUGGGAAACUGGGUCUAAUACCGAAUAGGACCACGCGCUUCAUGGUGUGUGGGGGAAAGCUUUUGCGGUGUGGGAUGGGCCCGCGGCCGAUCAGCUUGUUGGUGGGGUAAUGGCCUACCAAGGCGACGACGGGUAGCCGGCCUGGGAGGGUGACCGGCCACACUGGGCCUGGGAUACGGCCCGGACUCCUCCGGGAGGCAGCGGUGGGGACUAUUGCACACUGGGCGCAGGCCUGAUGCAGCGACGCCGGGUGGGGGAUGCCGGCCUUCGGGUUGUAAACCUCUUUCAAUAGGCACGAAGCGCAAGUGACGGUACCUAUAGAAGAAGCACCGCCCACCUCCGU